rnacentral:snoRNA from 1 species
UUUUUAUAGUUUGCUACUAGAGAGGGUUCUCAGAUACUGUAGAGCAUUUGAAACCAUGUGGAAAAGCCAAAGCAACCUCUUCUGAGCAUGAAGCUGGUUCUAGAUGUUGCUUUUGCAACUGCCUUUUACCACUGAUGAUCGUUCUUUUCUUCCUUUCAAAGAGUGAGAGUGAGAAGCUGGAUUAAGGG